CUUAUGUUUUUUAAGGAGACAAAUUGUGGGACAAAACUUACUUUAUUACUCUGCAUCUUCAUUUCAUAAGAUAUUCCUCAAAUGCAAAUGCGCCCAGAGAUUUAUCACUCUUAUUGACGAAUUAUACAACCAUCAUUCUGGCAUAUGUUGUUUGGCCUCCUCUUCAAUUGAUGAAUUAUUUCAAGGAACUGAGGAGGGCACACUUUUUGACUUGGAGAGGUAAUUCCUAUAUGUUUGUAUGGAAAGCUUUUGGAUUGCAAAGUAUAAAUACUUUGGAUCUACUGAAGUAGUGGUGUGAUAAUUUUCUUACCUAUCUUAAAGCCAUUGGUAUUAACUGCACACUCUAUUUUGAGACUGCAAGUGCAAACCUCUCUACUACGGAGAGGAAGACGACAAGGCUCCUGAUUCUGCUGGAACUACAGUUAAUGGUGAAUCUGGAAAAAAGGGCUACGUUGGGAUCCACAUUUCAGAAUUCUGGGUUUCUUAAGGCAAAAACCCUUCCUUAUUUUAUAGCUUCUUGUUGUUUCCUUGUUCUAGCUACUUUAAUGAUUUACGAACUUGAGAAAUUUAAAUGUGGUUUUAGUAGUUAAUUUAAACGAUACUUUUGAUAUAGAGUAAACUUUUUUUUGA